UACGGAGGGUGCAAGCGUUGUCCGGAUUUAUUGGGUUUAAAGGGUGCGUAGGCGGCUUAUUAAGUCAGGGGUGAAAGACUGCAGCUCAACUGUAGCAGUGCCUUUGAUACUGAUGAGCUUGAGUAUAGAUGAGGCUGGCGGAAUGGGUGGUGUAGCGGUGAGAUGCAUAGAUACCAUCCAGAACACCGAUUGCGAAGGCAGCCGGCUAACUACAACUGACGCUGAGGCACGAAAGCGUGGGGAUCGAACAGG
rnacentral:rRNA from 1 species